GGAGGGGUGGCCGAGUGGCUGAAGGCGCACGCUUGGAAAGCGUGUAUACGGGGAACCGUAUCGUGGGUUCGAAUCCCACUCCCUCCGCCA
rnacentral:tRNA from 1 species